UAUUGUACUGCAAUAACACAUAAUUCUCUUAUAUUAUCUUUUUUCAUAUAAUUAGUAGUAUAAUAUCACUAAAGUAUUAUUACAAAUGGCUCGCAGUUAUGCUUUCCAUUUCAUUGUUGCGCUAAUGGUGAUAGCUGUGUAUAUGGCUCAAUCUCCAAAAGUGAAAAUAGCCGCUGCGAGAGACGUGUCGAUGAUCAAUGAAAUAUUAACUGGUCAUAACUUGAUGGGUGGUUGCGGUGGAUAUUGCCGACGAAGCACUGACUGCUAUUCUAGGGCGUGCCCCUAUUGUUACUACGAUGUUAUUAAACAUACCUACGGCUGCCAUGCUUGAAAGAUCCAUCAUUCAUGGCCAACACAAUCUCAACUCUCUUGCUUAUGUAAUAUAUAUGUUUUUGUGGUUUAGUUUGAUUGUCUUUGAUUUUGUGUUUUCCUUUUCCAAUUUUACUAUUUAAUUAUGUGGAAAAAAUAAAACGACCAAGUGAUCUACUUCUACCUAGAUCAUGAUAAUGUCCCAUGUAACAUAAAGAUGGGUGCGUGUUGGCCUAUAUUUGUACUUUUAAUUCUGAAUGAAUAAAACUGUGUGAUCCGUUUGCUUAUCAAAA